GGCCAACAUGGUGUAAUGGUUUGAAUGUUGGACUAAGACCUAGAAGACCAAGGUUUGAAUCCCUGUUGGCCA